rnacentral:rRNA from 1 species
AGAGUUUGAUCCUGGCUCAGGAUGAACGCUGGCGGCGUGCUUAACACAUGCAAGUCGAACGAUUAACCCAACUUCGGUUGGUUAUAAAGUGGCGAACGGGUGAGUAACACGUGACCAACCUACCUCUUACUUUGGGAUAACCCAGAGAAAUCUGUGCUAAUACCAAAUAACCCAAUUAACUCGCAUGAGUUUUUUGGCAAAGCCUUUACGGUAAGAGAUGGGGUCGCGGCCCAUUAGGUAGUUGGUGAGGUAACGGCCCACCAAGCCUGCGAUGGGUAGCCGGACUGAGAGGUCGAUCGGCCACAUUGGGACUGAGAUACGGCCCAGACUCCUACGGGAGGCAGCAGUGGGGAACUUUGCGCAAUGGGGGCAACCCUGACGCAGCAACGCCGCGUGCGGGAUGACGGUCUUCGGAUUGUAAACCGCUUUCAGUAGGGAUGAAUUUUGACAGUACCUACAGAAGAAGCCCCGGCUAACUACGUGCCAGCAGCCGCGGUAAUACGUAGGGGGCAAGCGUUAUCCGGAUUCAUUGGGCGUAAAGCGCGCGUAGGCGGACCUUUAAGCACAUCUUCUAAUCUUAGGGCUCAACUCUAAGCCGGGAUGUGAACUGGAGGUCUCGAGUUGGGUAGGGGAGAUUGGAAUUCCUAGUGUAGCGGUGGAAUGCGCAGAUAUUAGGAAGAACACCAAUGGCGAAGGCAGAUCUCUGGGCCUAAACUGACGCUGAGGCGCGAAAGCUAGGGGAGCAAACAGGAUUAGAUACCCUGGUAGUCCUAGCCGUAAACGAUGGGUGGCAGGUGUGGGAGUACUUUACUUCCGUGCCCCCGCUAAACGCAUUAAGCACCCCCCCCUGGGGGGUACGGUCGCAGGACUAAAACUCAAAGGAGUGGAGGGGGCCCCGCACAAGCAGCGGAGCAUGUGGUUUAAUUGGAAGCAACGCGAAGACCCUUACCAGGGCUGGGCAUAUAGGUGAAGCAGUGGAAACACGGUGGCCGAAAGGAGCUUAUCCAGGUGGGGCAUGGCUGUCGUCAGUUCGGUUCGUGAAAUGUUGGGUUAAGUCCCGCAACGAGCGCAACCCUUGUUUCAUGUUGCCGGCAUUUAGUUGGGGACUUAUGAAAGACUGCCGGGCGUUAAGCCGGAGGAAGGUGGGGAGGACGUCAAGUCAUCAUGCCCCUUAUGUCCUGGGCUGCACACGUGCUACAAUGGCUAAUACAAAGAGCUGCUACUCAGCAAUGACAAGCGAAUCUCAAAAAGUUAGUCUUAGUUCGGAUAGUGGGCUGCAACCCGCCCACUUGAAGUCGGAGUUGCUAGUAAUCGCGGAUCAGCAUGCCGCGGUGAAUACGUUCCCGGGCCUUGCACUCACCGCCCGUCA